rnacentral:rRNA from 2 species
UUAAAUUGAAGAGUUUGAUCAUGGCUCAGAUUGAACGCUGGCGGCAGGCCUAACACAUGCAAGUCGAACGGUAACAGGGAU